CUAUCUAGCUGUCUAAACUAUUUAUUUAAUUUAUUGUGAAUUAUUGUUCUUACUUAUUUCCUUCCUUCCAUCUAACAAUUAUCCAUUGUAUAUUUAAAUUGUAUAUACUUCUAUAUUUCUCUUACUUAUAUGCAUCAUAUAUCCAUCUAUCCAUUUUAUCGAUUCUUUAUUGUUUCGUAUAUUUAUUAAUUUAUUUAUAUCUAACUACUUACUUUCCAUCCAUCCAUCCAUCCAUCCAUCCAUCCAUCCAUCCAUCCAUCCAUCCAUUUGAUUUAUUUCUUUAUUUUUAAUCAAAGCAGAAGUGCUGUCUCAGGCACAGAUUUUACUUUUAAUGUAGCUAGUAUAGGUUUUAUGGAUGCUACAUACUUUAGAAAUAAGUCCUAAUGAUCUAAUUAGAAUCUUCUCUAAAUCUAUUUCUAUUAAAGUUUGCUUUGAUAAGUAAAGAUGAUGCUUCAUGACUGCUUAACAUGGGUAAUAGUUGGACAUUUAGUCUGUGCUCGUAAAAUAAAAUCAGUGAUGCAAAAACCUUUCUUUUUUAAGGACUGAAAAGAAAUGUGUGGCUGCAAAAAAGUUUGAGAAUCUCCUGUCAUAUUUUAUCUCCCUGACUAAUAUACAAAGAUAAGGAGAAGAUCCGUGAAUAUGGUUAAAAAAGAGAAAGGCAGAACGCCUGGCCACUGAUGGAGCUCGGUUAAGCGGACCUAAGCCCGUCUUUGCGUCUCCGGAGACACACGGUCCUGAUUUAGGCACUGCGUGUUCCACGUCGCUCUGGCUUGUAUGUAAGAGCGAAGGCUGCUGUUAAGACCCGAGGCUCUAUACACACAUCGGCUCAUUCCAGCGGUCGGCCGUGGCAUUCAUUACAGUUUAAUGAUGUGCUAGCAGUGGCCUGUUCCAGCACUAAGCCUUGCCAUUUCCACUGGAAAAGACAGGCUAAUGGGAUUCAGUAGCAAAUGCCUGCAGGCUGUAGAACUGUGUGUGGGAUGGAAGCCACCUACACACACAAGCGCGCACACACACACACACGCGCGCACACACACACAAGACACCCACAAAAACAAAUUUCAGGCAUGUAUCGUGGACACCAACUUUCACAAAGCAUUCUGAAACUGAUGUAGCCUCGGACACAAACCUAAAAAGAGUGCGUAUACAGCGAGAAGAUCAGUUCAAGGUCAAAGCCUGAUGAAGCAGUGUAAGAAUUAGGAGGUUUGACAAAAAUAUCAUAUCACGAUUCUUAAAGACAUAUCUACGAUACACAACACUUAUCACGUUGUGUAGGCCAGCAAAGCAGCACAGGAAAAUUGUUUAAUAAUUUAAUAUCUACAAAUAUUUACAAAAUGUAUUGAUACAAUGUAAAGUUUUUAUUAUUAUUACAUUUAAAAAAAAAAAGCAAAUAUUUAUCAGUGUAACGAGGAACGUUUUAAAGGAUUUUACAAUUUUUAACGAGUACUAACAUUUAAUAAUAAAAAGCACACCUUUCUUUUUGUCGUGCUUGCUAUUCCCAUUCAUUAAAUAAAUAAAUAAAUAAAUAAAU